CCCUACGGGGUGCAGCAGGCGCGAAAACUCUACAAUGCACGAAAGUGUGAUAGGGGAAUCCCCAGUGCUCAUGUAAUACAUGGGCUUUUGUUAAGGGUAAAAACCUUUACGAAUAAGUGGUGGGCAAGACUGGUGCCAGCAGCCGCGGUAACCCCAGCGCCACGAGUGGCAACCACUUUUAUUGGGCCUAAAGCGUCCGUAGCCUGUUAUGUAAAUUUCCUGUGAAAUCGUCACGCUUAACGUGUCGGCGUGCAGGAACGACUGCAUAACUUGGGACCGGGAGGAGUCGGGAGUAUGCCGUGGGGAGCGGUAAAAUGUUAUAAUCCUCGGUAGACUACCAGUGGCGAAGGCGCCCGACCAGAACGGAUCCGACGGUGAGGGACGAAAGCUAGGGGAGCAAAUCGGAUUAGAUACCCGUGUAGUCCUAGCCGUAAACUCUGCGAACUAGGUGUUGCGUAUUCGACAAGAAUGCGCAGUGUCGAAGCGAAGGUGUUAAGUUCGCCGCCUGGGAAGUACGGUCGCAAGGCUGAAACUUAAAGGAAUUGGCGGGGGAGCAC
rnacentral:rRNA from 1 species